CUACGGGCCGCUCCAGUCACGAAUAUUCCCCAAUGGCCGAAAGGCUGAGGGAGCGACGCCGCGUGAUCGAUGAAGCUCUUCGGAGUGUAAAAAUCUUUUCUGAGGGAAGAACGUUGACGGUACCUCAGGAAUAAGGGGCUGCUAAACUCGUGCCAGCAGCAGCGGUAAUACGAGUGCCCCAAGCGUUAUCCGGAUUUAUUGGGCGUAAAGCGUCCGCAGGUGGUUAUCUAAGUCUUGCCUCAAAUCUCAGCGCUCAACGCUGAAACUGGGUGAGAAACUGGGCAACUAGAGGUUGGGAGGGCUAGUGGAAUGGCUGGUGUAGGGGUCAUAUCCGUUAAUAUCAGCUGGAACACCAAAAGCGAAGGCAGCUAGCUAGAACAAACCUGACACUCAUGGACGAAAGCGUGGGUAGCGAACGGGAUUAGAUACCCCGGUAGUC
rnacentral:rRNA from 1 species